AUAAGUUUUUAACAGGGAAUUAAACGUUUUAAAACUAAAGAAUGUGAGUUGGUAGAGUACAUUCAAUCAUGGACCAGAUCAAUCAUCUUCAAUUGUUAGUCUUGCUUGAUUAAGCUUUUUAAGAUGUGGUUGUUUAGGUGGUGUGUGGCGGUCUUCUAUGUAGGGCUUCAUGUCACUAUGCACUAACAUAAUGUUGACAUGUUACUUAUACAUUUCACCUCCUAUUCACAAUGAUUACAACUUGCUUUCUCCUAUCCUAGAUGAGACUUAAGCAUGGCAGAGACAAGACUGAUUAAGAUCCAUUUUGGGUGAAGUGGAAAUGAUUUUACUUUGAAAUAUCAGUGGUAAAUAAAAGCAAGCAGUGAUUAUUCCACACAAACCUUGUAUCAAAUGGUUUUUUAUGCUUUAAACUGCAUUACUAGCUACAGCACAAAAGGCACCCAUGGGUCCCUUAGUCCUGUCUGUGAGAGACACACAGGAUAUUCAAUGAAUCCAGGGUUUUAUAAUAUUAAAGUGAGUAGACAUGGGUCAAAGAUAUUUUGACUGAAAUGUGAAUGUGCUUUAGAUCAAGAUUUUGGUUUCAGGUAGGCAGAUAAAGUGCCCAGGCAUUUCAAGUCCACAAAGAGUAUCAGUUAUCUGACAGCAGUUUUUAUGUACUUAUUUCCAUUGCUAGUUUCCUCUUUCUUCAACAAAAUCAAUCAAAAGAAGUGGCUCUAUGCAGUUUUUCUAGUUUUAUUACUGUCUCUUGAAACUGCAAACAUCAAAGAUUUUGCACAGCUUCACUGCUAAUAUGAAACACUUCCCAGAUUUUUUUUUUGUCACAGGAAUUCUACUAGGAAUGAGUUGCAUGGAUAUCCUUUAACAGUUAAAUUUUAAUCCCAGCCUUGCAGGUGGUGGACCUGGGGUGAUGGAGGUGCAGCAGCAUCACUUCUUUAGGGAUCUGCAUGGAGUAUCUGCCUCUUGUGGUGUUGAAGAUUGCUCCAACGAUGCAGUUACAGCUGUUUGAUCCCACCAGAGACAUAAAGACCCCACAGGAAGAAGACCUGAUGGUUCAUCAGACAUGGGCAGUAUUUUAUAGGGUUCAAGAGUAAAUCACCUUUUCAAGAGAAUGAGUCCCUCCUUUAAAGGAUAUGAAGGAGCUUUGUGUACGAAACCAUAUCAGACAAUAAUUGCCCCAGUGUUAAUAAAAAAUCCAUUCACUUUCAGAAAUGUGUUGGGAGUUUCUUCUCCAUUCCUCUCAAAAAAGGAGAGUUCAUCUCUGUUAUAUUUUUCUAGAUGCUGUAAUCCCAGCAGCAGUGCUUUGUUGUUUACACAAGCUCGUGUGCAGCUGUGUAUUGAUGGUGUUCUGCUGAUCUGUAUGCUGUAAGAUGUGUUUAUGACAACAGUGCUUUUUCUUAAACAAAUAUGUCAUUAUUUCUGAAAUAUUCAGCUGUUCUCUGCCUAUAUUUGGAGUUCAUCUGUUUGUGAAGUUAUUUGUGAACUGAAUUAAUUAUAUUUUAUGUUUGGAAGUGUUAAUUUAAAUCUUCUUUUAAUAGAACUAUUAUUUUUAGGGUGAAAUCUUUAAUAUAUUCCCUUUAUUGUCCUUUAAUGUUUUUCCCGAAGUUGUUAUCAGCCAAAGGAACAUAUUGGUACAGCUACAAGGCAGCCUAUGCACAAUUCAAAAAUAGCUAAGUUCAAGUGAGCAAACCAGUGUGAGUUCAUGAAAUAGUGAUGUUAUUUUACUUACUGUAUUAAUGGUUGUUCUCUUGACUAUCAUUCUAUCUGUUGGACUGAAAACAGACACAAAUUGGUGCACCUGGUUUCAAACCUGUCCCUACACUGCUUAUGAGUAGCACUCUGCCUAUCCAGCCACAACAUACUCACACUGAUGUCACCAGUGAAAGCAGAACCUCUCCCAGUGAAAGGUCUCUCUAAGGGCCCUGUUUAUUCCUGCACUCUCCCAUCAAAUGAGGCCAUUUGCUCCCUGAGAGAUGACUCCUUCUGAAGGACCAUCCCUAUCCACCAUCUCCAUGUGGUUGUAAUUGACAGAAGGGCAAUAAAAAUCAUAGUGUUAUUUUAUUGGAUAACAGUGAGCCAAAUCUGGACAUUUUAGUUAUUAUUUGAACACAAUGCAUGUGUACAAAAUCCUUUCACAUAUCUUCGUGGGUUAUGCUGCAUUUUAAAAUGUGUGUAGUGUUGCCAUGGACAUUUGUCCUGCAGUGAAAUGCUAACUGAUUAAAAAGAGAAAUUUGAGGAGAUUUUUUUUUUUUAAUUACAAGGUUUAAUAAACUUUUAAAAAGUAUUUUAUCAAUCCUUCAGAAAUUUGCUGCAUGCAAAAACAGUGAAUAAAUCUAUAGCACGUUCUGUUUCCA